rnacentral:rRNA from 1 species
UACGUAGGGGGCAAGCGUUGUCCGGAAUUACUGGGCGUAAAGCGUGCGCAGGCGGUUCGUUAAGUUCGUUGUGAAAGCCCCGGGCUCAACCCUCGAAUGCCGGUGGAUACUGUCGGGCUAGAGUGCGGAAGAGGCGAGUGGAAUUCCUGGUGUAGCGGUGAAAUGCGCAGAUAUCAGGAGGAACACCAAUUGCGAAGGCAGCUCGCUGGGACGUAACUGACGCUGAGACGCGAAAGCGUGGGGAGCAAACAGG